UCAUGCCUUAUACCUGUGGAAGGGCUUGGGGAAUUGCUCUUCUGUGACUGAUAACCACAAAUAUAUGGAAGACUAUGGAUAGUGACUGUCUUGGUGUCCUGGGAGUCAGGCGAAGCUCCUACCAUCCCUUUCCGGGUCACUGGGAUCUCAAUCCUCCUCAAACAGGAACCAGGGUCCCUUUCAUCAUCCCUCAAGCCAUCUGAUGGGGAAUAGAUUUAAAUGGCAUUUUCAAUUAUGAUAAUUGCCUAGGUUGCUUAAUCCUUUCAACUUUACCACAUUUUCUGUGUGGUGGCACAAUCCACUGCCCCACAAUCACCUGCCACCCUCCUUCCACCAUCCUUUCUAGCAUCUCUUUCUCUCUCCACAGGUCCCAGUUGGGGUGAGGUAUUUUGGGAUUCCCUCUGGGCUCUGGGUGUUGUCACUAUGGAAGGGAAAACAGGAAGUAUGUGGGCAGGUGGUGUGACAUGAACAGAAAAGAGAGGAAUAUUUUUCAUCCAGGACAUUAACUGAUAUGUGAGGGCUGACAGAGCCUGCAGUAUGUGUUAUCUAAAAGAUAUUUCUUUAAUGGGAGGCAUCAAAGAGAAAUAGGAAGGCUUGAGCCUUUUCUUUCUGACCACUGUCUAUUAUGGAAUAACCAACUUGCCCAUAAAAUCAGAGAGUCUGAACGCUGGGGUCUUGUCAAAAUAUGGAGUCUGAAGAGUCACUGAGCCUGGUCUGAGGGAGGACAUGUUUGCUCAGAAUGAAGACUGAAGAUGGUCCUAGAAACUGAUUAGCUGUCAAUGGUGCAUUGUUUUCUCUCUGUGUCUCUGUGCCUGUGUCUCUCUGUCUUUCUCUGUGUGUCUUGGUCUGUCUACCUCUCUCUCUGACUAUCUGUCCAUGUCUCUCUGUCUCUGUCUGUCUCUUUCUCUAUCUCUGUUUAUCUGUCUCUCUCGUGUGUGUGUCUGUGUGUGUGUCUGUGUGUGUGUCUGUGUGUGUCUGUGAAUUAUGAAGGUGGAGGUGAGGUAGAAAGACUCCUUUAGAAAGUGGAGUAGCUUUACAGUCCCUGUCCAUGAAACUCAGGGAGUUGGAAACUGUGCCAGAGGGAGCAGGCAAAGGCAGGAAGAGUUCACAGGUCAUGUUCUUCUCCCUGUCUUUCCCAGGGCACUCAGCAGGAUACAGAAGAAAAAAUGACUAUGGAAUUAACAAACCAGUUCUCUUCUCUUGAGUCCAGGGUGGCUCCAUUGAGAUCCCUUUUUCCUUCUACUUCCCCUGGAAUUUGGCCAAGGAUCCACAGAUGAGCAUAGCCUGGAGAUGGAAAGACUACCACGGGAAAUUCAUCUACAACUCCACUCUACCUUUCAUUCAUGAGCACUUCAAGGACGGGCUCAGCCUGAACUGGACACAGGGUCAGAUAUCUGGACUCCUCAGAAUCCUUAACUUGAAGGAGAAUGACCAGGCCACAUACUUCUGAGCACCACAGAAGAUAGGAAGAGAUGGCAGUCGAUCCCUGGGACCCAACUCUCCAUUGUCCAUGCACUCAGCACCACCAUGAGGAUCCCCUCCAUCAUCUCUUCUGUAGUCUUCACAACUGGUCUGGAGGACACAGGAGAUCAGAUGAAUCAUUCACUGCUGAAUCUGGUAGCCAUAGAUGGGAUGGUCAUGGCCAAAGUUGUGGUCACCUUCCCCAUCUGUGGAUGGAUGAUCUUUCUGUUGUGGAAGCAAAGGUAAGUGGUCCAUGACCGGCCUCAUCUGAACUUCCCACUGGGAGUGUUCUCAGCAGUGGGAGAUGGAGAGCAGCAGGCUUGGGCAGGGACCAGUAAAGAGAACAAAAAGAGGAAAAUGUGCCUGAACUCUACAAGGACUGCAUCCAUGAAGCCUGCUGUCCUUCCUGACCACCUGGAAAUUAGAGUAGCAAAUGCAGAUGAACACAGAGCCCGCUCUUAAGGAAUUCAAGGAGGCAUGCAGGAGCCUCAGGGGCUGACUGCUCCUCUGGAAAGAGCUGUGGCUGCUAAAGAAGAUCUGAGGGUAGACCAGCAUUUGCAGACACCAUGUUACAGGCAGUGAUAGCUAUAAAAAGGAACACCUCUUUUUGUUGGGCAUGUGUGACUAAAAUGGAAAGUAAUAGACCCAUAAACAGAAAGAAAUCUAUACAGAGAACCUAUCAUUACAACGAGCUAAAGAGUUGGACACUAGAAAUCUAAUCCUCCUGAGCAAAAAUAUGAAACACCUAUUGAAGGGUCUCAGUUGAAGUGAUUGCCCCACAAACAGGGACAUGAGUAUCCCAUAAACCACAUAAAGAGUUUUCAGAUACUUGGAAAGGCAGAGAAACUAUGAUUCCUGGGGCUCACUGUGCUGUAAGCCUUCCCUAGUGGGUGAGAACUAUGACUGACCUGUCUCAAAAUCCAGAGAGAACAUCUCCCGAAAGACAAUGUCAAAGUUUUCCUCUACCAUCCACAUGUGUCUGCACAUAUGCACAUAUACACAUGUUCCUGGAGAAAUACUUUAAAUGUAGUGAUUUUUGGAGAAUGGCAAAUUUUAUACAUUAAGUCCUAAUUACACACAUGCACACAAACAUACACGCAUACAGCUAAAAAUACAAUGAAGUUCCUGUUUGAAAUCCAAUUGUAUUUCUGUAAAAAUAAAUGAUUUGUCUUCAAAUUUUCAUGGUUACUCUAAGAAAUAAAAAUGGGGACACAGAGGGGGACACAAUAAUCCCAGCCCUUGCAAAAUGCAACGUGUUUCAAGGUUAUCUACAAUUGCAUGGCACCAUAGGUCACUAGGAUCCAAAGACCUUCUACACACAACACAAGACUCAAGCGUGGACUGAAGUCAUAGCGGAUUUAAAACCAUGGGACCUAGCAGACUAAAAGAUAAGGACUGAUAUGCAUAGAUGGUGGAGGGUUUACAAAUACCAUUUAACAAUGUUAAAUGUUAAGUAGAAAAACUUAGAGGAGGGAGACCAGCAGCAUAAGAGACAGCAGAAGUCUGACUUGGAUUCAUAACUUAAGGCUGAAUCUGCAGGGUGGCAGGAGACAUGGUGACGGCAGAGCAGAGAAGGCAUGAAAGUGUCAAGAGGUCAGAGCAGGGGGAAGGUGGGAAAGGGAGAUGGGACAUGGACAUGGGUCAGUGGACCAGUAGAUUUUUCCAUUGAUUUGCUGUGCUGUACAUAAGGUCAGCCGAACACUACCUUCAGGUCCUACUGAUUCUCAGACCUGUCCCCAAUGGCUGGAGCAGAGCUGUUUCUGGUCUUGGGACCCUCAUGUUGUCUAAACACGGAGAACAGCUGAAAAGCAGGACUGAGAACGAGUCUGGCUGACAUACUGACACAGUUUCUUCUCCUGCAGGCCAGCAGAGGAAAGACUAAACCCCAGACAGGUGCGCUCCCACCAUCCCAAGGGGCAGCUGAGGAUCUGUUGGGAAGUUUAUUCCUAAAGGCAUGCAAGCGGGACAGAGAGAUGAUUCAGCCAGAAAUGCAAGGGACAUGGGUAGAAGGACCUGACUUUGAACCCCAGCUUACACAUUAUAACCCCGGGGAUGUGCCAGAAAUUUGUAAUCGCAGCUCUGGACAAGCAAGAGACAGGCAGAGUCAUGGGUUUGCAGUCCACUAUUCUAGCCUAAUUGAUUAGUUCCAGGGCUAAUGAAAGAUCCCUUUUAAGAAAGGGAAAUUUCUCAAGGUCAUAAAUUACAGUCAUUCACUAAAUUUAUUUGAAGUAAAGUAUUUUGAAUUCCAUAUUAAUGGAAAAGCAAUAGUAUAUGUCAGUUGGAAAUGUAGUCAGCUGCCUAACACAGUGUCCUGGAUGCGAUUCCAGGGAACCCAAAUUGUACACAGAGAAAACUGACUUUGGACAAUUUUCCUCUGCCUCUCAGGGUUGCUCACAUGCUCCUGGUGAGACAUUGUCUAUUUGUCCCCAGCUAACAGACCUCCAGGUGCCAGUUUCUCUCACCAGGGAGGAGAAUUUUCAUCAAAGUAGUAAUUGGUGAACCCACAUCAGCAUCUUACACCUUCAAAUUCUUGAUCUUGGGAAUUAGAACAUGCAGGGCUCUAGGACUGUUCUUCCAAACAUUCUUGGGCAGGCAUCGCAAGAUAACCCCACUUCUGCCAUAUGGGUUCUGAUGUCCUGUCCUCAGAACUCAGAUCAUCCAGUCUGUCUUUGGUCCUGAGAGUUCAACUGUGCUGUUCUUUCUUUGCUCCUGGAGUUAAUGAUACUUUUUAGUAGAUGAGAGAUCAGAAAGUAAAGCAAACCAAGGAGCUAGUUCAGAGUAAGGCUGAGGUGUAGAUGUGUCCAAACCCUGAAAAUCUUAUCUUGACACCAGCUGAGUUAGGACAGGUCUGAGCGUUCAGGAGCAAGAAGCCUAUACCACCACCACCUCCUACACUCUUUUAGUAGGCACAGAGAAAGAUGGCUGAAUUACAGUUCUAACUUUCUCUUGGGCUCUAAGGACAGGUCCAGCAAACACAUGGAAUUUCUCUUCAUGCAAAUGAAGGUGUCCCAGAACCUAUCACACAGAAAGUUUAAUAUAACCCUUGUUACCCCAUUUUUGAGUUUGCUGCUUGGGCCUUGGAACCAUAUUUGACCUCUAGUGUCCAUAUAAAGAGGCCAGCAAAACCUUUAAUCUUAGCAAAAGAGAUAGAGGCAGGCAGAGCUCUGUGUGUGGACAGUUAGCCUGGUCUAUGUGUCUAGUUCCACACCAAACAGAGCUGUGUGAGCUGUAAUCCUAGGACUGAGGAAGUGCAGACAGGCUUGUCUGUACAGCUCACUGGGCAGUCAAUCUAGUCUCCAUGGGAAAAUUGAAGUUAGUGAGAGAGCCUGAUUCAAAAAAUGAGAAGGAUGAGACCUUAGGCUCUCCUCUAGCCUCAACAUGCAUAAACCAAUGCAUGCACACAAAGACAGAUAUAGAGAGACACAGGAACAUAGAUACACAAACAGGGAUACACACACACACACACACACACACACACACACACACACACACACACACGUACAUAUACCCACAGAGACAUACAGACAAAGAUUCUUACACAAAGAUGCACACUCUUACAUGCAUACACAUCAACACAGAGACACACAUCUGAUGUAACAGAUCCACAUAUUCACACACACUGGAUAUACCAGAAUGUGUAAAAGAAGAACUAUGAAAUAGCCAUAUGGGUAAAGCUCAGUCAAGAGCAGAAUACAAUCCUUUGCUUCAUGCACAUCACACCACUUCUGCUCACAUUCCUGGCUGAAGAGGAACCCUCCUGUAGGCCUCAGAAUACUGGAACUGAGGAGCAAUCUGGCACAGAUUCCUUCCAGUUUCUGCCUUCACCCUGAGCUGACCCUGUACCACCGCUCUCUGUACCCGAAUACCCCUGGGAGAGAGCUGGUUUCCCAGUAGUGCUCACACUCAGACUUACAGGAGAGUCAAGCUACUGUCAGAGAGAGAAAGACCAGCUCAAACCAGAGAUAAGCAGAUGGCGAGAGGGAAGGGCAAGAACCUUCACAGCGUAAACCAAGGUCAUUUGGCAUCAUCAGUACCCAGUUCCCCACCACAGCAAGCCAUGGAUAACCCAACACUGGAAAAGGAUUAUCUUGACUUAAAAUCACAAGUCAUGAUGACAUUAAAGGCCUUUAAGAAGGACAUAAAUAAGUAACUCCCUUAAGGAAAUACAGGACAAUACAGGCAAACAGGUAGAAACCCUUAAAGAGGAAGCACAAAAAUGAACCAAGCAGGUGAAGGAAUUGAUCAAAUCCAUCCAGGAUCUAAAAAUGGAAAUAGAAACAAUGAGGAAAUCACCAAGGGAAAGAACCCUGAGAAAGAAAAUCUAGGACUGAAAUCAGGAGUCAUAGACACAAGGAUUACCAACAGAAUACAGAAGAUGGAAGAGAGAAUCUCAGGGGGAGAAGAUACCAGAGAAAACAUUGACAUAACCGUUAAGGAAAAUGCAAAACCAAGUAACUCCUAACCCAAAACAUCCACUCCAAAUAGAUUGGACCAGAAAAGAAAUUCCUCCCAUCACAUAAUAGUCAAAACACCAAAUGCAAAAAACAAAGUGAGAAUAUUAAAAGUAGUAAGGGAAACAGGUCAAGUAACAUGUAGCCAGACCUAUCAGAAUUACACUGGACUUCUUACCAGAGACUAUGAAAGCCAGAAGAUCCUGGGCAAUAUCUGCUCCUAACAGUUCCCCUUUGGUGGAUUUAAUGAAGAAAUUGAUCAUCUCUACCUCCAGGUGAGGUAAUACUUUGUGGCUAGGUAGCCAAUGGGCAGGAACUGCCUAUUUUAUUUACAGACUAAUACUGGCCAAAAAGGUCGACAUUUUGCAAAAUAGUUGACUGAAAAUGUUUGCAAAGCCAGAAUUAUCAGCCCUUCAAGAUUUCUGCAUUUCAGGGGUUGGGGAUUUAGCUCAGUGGUAGAGUGCCUGCCUAGCAAGUGCAGGGCC
ensembl:lncRNA